AAGGCAGGUGGGUGGGAUGGUGGGAUGAGUGUAGAGAAGAUUCAAAAUAGUUGCUAUGGUGAAUGGGAGGAGAGAGCCAACAGGGAAAACAGGAAUUCCAGAGUAGUGGUAAGAAUUAGAGACCAUGAAUUUGUUAUUGCCAACAGUCUAGGUGACUGAGAUUAUGGUAGAGGCCUGGGCCUUCCCACCAAUAGGAACCGCCUCCUACCUCCACACUCAGUAACCACCAGGACUUGCCAACUGGUUCACAUAGUUUUAAGAUGUGUCAUCAUUGGUAUCUACUAUGUUUGUUAUGGUGUUGACAUGUGUUACUGGGACAGUAGCUAGUCAGGUCCAAGAUACAGGAGCAAAAGGCUGAUUCAGUUGCUCUGCCCAUAGGUCACCCUCCCCUGGGGCUUGCACCCCUGCCAGGCAGGAAGCUUCUCUUUGUCCCCUAACUCAACUCAGCCACUGGGAAUGACUUCGUUCAUUCAACUUAAUCUGAGUAUAACUACCCUACCUCCUUAUGAAUGCUGGAUUUCUUUUAACCUCAAGAUCUCCCCUCUGUUCCCCUCUACCCAAGCCAAAUACCCAUGCUAUCCUUGGGAACUUUAAAAAAUAUCUAUUUCCUAGUCAAGACAGCUGGCCACUUCACAUAACAACGCAGGUCUUCUGCAACCCUAAACAAAGGCUGGAGAUGGAUGGGGAAACGCUCUCCUAAUGGUGGAUGGGUAGAGAGACGUCUGAGGUUUCUGGAAGACUGAGGACCUAUUGUUUUCUCCACCAGUCUAAGCAGAACAGGUAUAAAAACAGAAUGGAAGGAAAUUUACAUUGAUCCAGGACUGGGCUUUUGCUGCAAGUUGCAAAUUAAGUUAUUUAGGGUGCUUUUGUCUGAAAGUAGCAGAAUGCCUGACUCAAGCUGGCUUAAAUAUGAAAUAAAUUAUUAUUUCAUGUAUUGGGAUAUCCUGGGGGAAGAUACUUCAGAUGGGGUUGAUUUAGUGGUUUGACAACAUCAUCAAAGAUCUGGGUUCUUCCUGUCUCUAUGCACUGCCACCCUUGUUGCUGGGUUCAUCCUCAGGAGGAAAGAUCAUCAGUUCUUUUGUCUCUUUCAUGGGAAAAUCUUUCCCAGAGUCCUCUUUACCCCACCUCACUCUACCCUCUAGAACUAGAAGUGAGUCACAUGACUGUUUCUCUCCUGAUAAGAGACAGGGAAUGACCAUGACCAACUUGGACCAACCGUCUGGGUUGGAAUGGAUGUUGGGGAGUCAUUCACAACAUCCAUGACUGGGUAUAGCAAAG
rnacentral:lncRNA from 1 species